rnacentral:lncRNA from 1 species
CAGCUCUCGGCAGAACUUAAGACUAAUGCUGAAGAAGUAUGCCCAGAGAGCCAAAACCUUUCCGAUGUGCCAUUUUUGACCACAAGAGACAUGGUUGAUUGGGAUGCUGAACUCGGCGUCAACAAGGAAGCAAAGCUUUGAAUGAAAAGACACAUGGUUGUCCAAGGUGGCGACACCAUAAAACAGAAGACUGUACACAUUUUAAAGAGCAUCAGGUCUUGGGAUGUGGCGAAACAGUUCAGUUGGUAUGGCGCAAAAGGCAAAAUGAAGUUUUGUGAGCAGAAUGUUUCCAAGCUACUGUGAACCUGCCUGAUAGAAAAUAUCAAGCAGAAUCAGAAGGAGGCUACAUUGAAAAACAUUGAAAAAGCAGCCAUGCCUUGGUUCCGCCAUGCCGCAGACCAGACAGCAGCAGGACAGCAAAGGCAACAAAGACCACUGAACAGAACUUCAGAAGAGGACGACGAAGCCCUCAUUUCUUGAGACAGUGCACCUUAAUUACUGCUCAACUUUGCAAUAAAUACUUUUGGUGAUUACUUC